UUGCGAAUGGGGGAACCCUGACGCAGCAACGCCGCGUGAGUGAUGAAGGCCUUCGGGUCGUAAAGCUCUGUCAAGUGGGAAGAACCUGCUUCGUGAUAAUACCGCGAGGCACUGACGGUACCACUGAAGGAAGCACCGGCUAACUCCGUGCCAGCAGCCGCGGUAAUACGGGGGGUGCUAGCGUUAUUCGGAAUCAUUGGGCGUAAAGGGCGCGUAGGCGGUCGCUUAAGUCAGAUGUGAAAGCCCUCGGCUUAACCGAGGAAGUGCAUUUGAUACUAAGUGACUUGAGUAUGGGAGAGGGAAGCGGAAUUCCCGGUGUAGCGGUGAAAUGUGUAGAGAUCGGGAGGAACACCGGUGGCGAAGGCGGGUCUCUGGGCAAUUCCUGACGCUGAGGCGCGAAAGCGUGGGGAGCAAACAGGAUUAGAUACCCUGGUAGUCCACGCAGUAAACGGUGAACACUAGGUGUAGCGGGUAUUGACCCCUGCUGUGCCGAAGCUAACGCAUUAAGUGUUCCGCCUGGGGAGUACGGCCGCAAGGUUGAAACUCAAAAAAAUUGACGGA
rnacentral:rRNA from 1 species